GUGAACAAGAACUGAAGGAAAUUAAAACCUCCCUUCUUUCUUUUCCCAAUUUGUAACCCUAGUCUUUUAUUGUCGCCGCCGUCUCAAGCUCCUAAGCGCCACCACCGUCUCAAGCUCUUCAACGCGGUCGCUUCUUUCUCUUUCCUAAUUUGCAAAACCCAAAAAACUCAGCACAUCUUCUUCAUUUUCGUUGGCUUCUCUAUUUAUCGAAGGUUAGUGGCGUCCGUUCUUGGUGUACUGCGCUCGUUAAGAUCUCUCCUUGCACCUUUUCCGACGUCGGCAUUGGCGUCUCCAUCGGUGUCUCAGUUUUCGGUGCUGCUUGGGAGAUUUACGUGCUGCAAUCAAGGCUCCCCAAAUCACUUCCACAAAUCUUAUUAGGUACGAGCCAUAUAUGAAAUAAAAUCGUUGCAAAUUAAACUAUGGAAAUUGUUAAUAAAUUUUAUACCAGCAGAGUUCAAAUUAAACUGGCUCGUACGUAUUCUUCAAGACUUGUUAAUAAUCGUAGAAUUUGAAAGCUAAAUGAUGAUGUAUUAAAAAAACUUCAUUCAAAGAAAAAGUUCAAUUUAUCUUAUACGAAGUAACUAACUUAGAUAAGUACGUAGGAGAGUAUUAUUUGAUUCUCAACAAUCAAGAGACUAGAGAGACUCUAAAUAUACUAAACUACAUGAUCACCCUAAUAUAUGCGUCUGGAGUAUAUUUAAGGAUGACAUGAUGUGAAGAAAAUAUGUUCUAUAUAAAUAUAAGAUGAGAUGGGUCUUAUAAUGAUUUUGGUUAUCGAAAUGUAUUAUUUUUAUGUGUUCUUUACAUUUUGAUAAGAGACUUUAUCCGAUAUUACAUGUAAUGGAUAAAUUACACCCUAUUUUAAUUAGUGAUGUAAUGGAUAUCUAGUUUUUAAUGAAACUUUUAUGAUUUACAUUUA